rnacentral:rRNA from 1 species
AUUGAACGCUGGCGGCAGGCCUAACACAUGCAAGUCGAACGGUAACAGGAAGCAGCUUGCUGCUUCGCUGACGAGUGGCGGACGGGUGAGUAAUGUCUGGGAAACUGCCUGAUGGAGGGGGAUAACUACUGGAAACGGUAGCUAAUACCGCAUAACGUCGCAAGACCAAAGAGGGGGACCUUAGGGCCUCUUGCCAUCGGAUGUGCCCAGAUGGGAUUAGCUAGUAGGUGGGGUAACGGCUCACCUAGGCGACGAUCCCUAGCUGGUCUGAGAGGAUGACCAGCCACACUGGAACUGAGACACGGUCCAGACUCCUACGGGAGGCAGCAGUGGGGAAUAUUGCACAAUGGGCGCAAGCCUGAUGCAGCCAUGCCGCGUGUAUGAAGAAGGCCUUCGGGUUGCAAAGUACUUUCAGCGGGGAGGAAGGGAGUAAAGUUAAUACCUUUGCUCAUGGACGUUACCCGCAGAAGAAGCACCGGCUAACUCCGU